AAUAUUGGAAAAUGGGGGCAACCCUGAUCCAGCCAUGCCGCGUGUGUGAAGAAGGACUUCGGAUUGUAAAGCACUUUAAGUUGGGAGGAAGGGCUUUAGGUUAAUCACCUGCAGCUUUGACGUUACCAAAAGAAUAAGCACCGGCCAACCCAUUGCCAGCAGCCGCGGUAAUACAUCGGGUGCAAGCGUUAAUCAGAAUUACUGGGCGUAACGCGCGCGUAGGUGGUUCAGUAAGAUGGGUGUGAAAUCCCCGGGCUUAACCUGGGAACUGCUUUCAUAACUGCUGAGCUAGAGUACGGUAGAGGGUAGUGGAAUUUCCCGUGUAGCGGUGAAAUGCGUAGAUAUAGGAAGGAACACCAGUGGCGAAGGCGACUACCUGGACUGAUACUGACACUGAGGUGCGAAAGCGUGGGGAGCAAAC
rnacentral:rRNA from 1 species